GACGAACCGUGCAAACGUUGUUCGGAAUCACUGGGCUUAAAGGGCGCGUAGGCGGCCUGGUAAGUAGGGGGUGAAAUCCUGCGGCUUAACCGCAGGGCUGCCUUCUAAACUGUCAGGCUCGAGCACGGUAGAGGCAGAUGGAAUUCCCGGGUGUAGCGGUGGAAUGCGUAGAGAUCGGGAGAACAUCAGUGGCGAAGGCGGUCUGCUGGGCCGUUGCUGACGCUGAG
rnacentral:rRNA from 1 species